CCCUGGGUGCUGCCGAGCAUCAGACUAAAAGCUAGAAAAGUAAAUUUCACGGAGUAAAUGUGAUUAAUUAAAUAUGUAUGCUUUUGUUUUGUUGCUCAGUUAUCACUGGCUCAUCAAGAGAACACCCAGACAUCAUUUAUGCCUAUAUGUGUACACCAGUGGAUGGAACAUGAACUUCAGAGUCAGUCUCAGCUACACUUGACAAUUGGCUUGUUAAGAAAGUAGCUCAUAAUAGCUAUAUGAGUUUGGGCAAACCUCUUCAUCAAAGAAUGGGGCUAUUGACUGCUGACUCCCCCAGAAGAGCACCAGAAAACCCCCCACAUCAACUGAUCGAACAGAGAAAGUGAGGCUUGGAGAGAUUAAGUAACUUAUCCAAGGUUUGACACCAUGGAUAUUGCACAGGCAGCAUGGAGAUCCAGGCUUUGGUCUUGGCUCUGAAACCUGUAUCCUGAAGGCAUUACAGAAUAGUGAUUAGAACUGUGGACUUUGGGCCCUCCUGCCUGGGCUCAACCCCAGCUGUGUAAACGUGGACAAUUUGUUGAAGGCCUCUGUGCCUCAGUGCUCUCAUCUGAAAAUGGGGUUCUUAACCCAGUUAAUAAACGGGACAAAGAUCUAUACAGAGGGCAAAUAAUACAAGAAGAUGCUCCACAUCGUAUGUCUUUAGGGAAUUGCAAUUCAAAACGUCAAUGACAUACCACUGCACACCCAUUAGAACAGCAAAAAUCCCAAACACGGACAACACCACGCACUGGGGUGGAUGUGGAGCAACAGGAACUCUCAUUCACUGCAGGCGGGAAUGCAAAACGGUGCCGCCACUUUGAGAGACAGGCAGUUUCUUACAAACCUGCACGUACUCUCACUCUUAGAUGUUUACGCAAAUGACUUGAAAACUUAUAUUCACGCAAAAUCUUGCACGUGGGUGUUUAUAGAAGCUUUAUUUAUAAUUGCUCAAACUUGGAAGCAACCAGGAUGUCCAUUAACAGGCGAAUGGAUAAACAAACUGGCAUGUCCAUACAAUGGAAUGUUAGUCAGCAAUAUAAAAGGAAUGCUCUAUCAAGCCCUGAAGGACAUAGAACCUUAAAUACAUCUGCUCAGUGACAGAAACCAUAAUAGUUUCAAGCAUGUGACAUUGUGGAAAGGACAAAUUGAAGAAAGGAAAGUAGCCGUGCCCAGGGGUUCAGGGCUAGUGAGAGAAGGAUGAAUAGUGGAGUACAGGGAAAUUACCUGGUAGUGAAACGAUUCUGUAUGAUACUGUAAUGGUGAAUACAUGUCAUUACUUGUUUGUUAAAACCCACAGAACUGUACAGCACAAAGAGUUAACCCUAAUGUAACUAGGGACUUUAGUUAAUAAUAAUGUAUUAAUAUUGUCUCAUCAAUUGUAACAGAAGUACUAAGUUAAUGCAGGGUAAUAAGGAACAGUAUGUGGAUCAUUGGCAUGGCGGGGGGAGGGGGGAGGUGGAGGGGAAGGGGGAUAAAUUGGAAGUUUCUGUAUCUUCCACACAAUUUUUCUGUGAACCUCAAACUGCUCUAAAAAACAAAGUAUACUAAUUAAAAAAUAAAGUCUUAAAAAAAAGAUGGUCGUGUGAGGAGUU